rnacentral:lncRNA from 1 species
CUCUUUUCACAGACCGAAAAAAAGAGUGAAAAAAGAGGUACAAGAUCAUUUUUGCUACGAUUUUGGGAGCAUUUUUUUUGCAAGGGGAUCAGUGCAUUUUGGCAGAGAUAAAAUGGUGUUGACAUAUCUGCUCAAGUACCAAAGCCAAGCUAUUUCUACGAGCUAUUUCUUGGACAUUCUGCAGUAAGCUAUUCUCUGUCUUUAUGUAAGGAAGUUAAACGGACGCCACCUCUGUUGCUUGGUGACAAAGUUUAGAUCCAAACGGAUUUAGUUCUGCUCGAUCAGGGUUUGCAGUGCAGGGUUUGAUCAAGACAACUUCUUCAGUUUUUCUGUUCAUGAUACAAAGUACACAGACACACUCUCUCUUCCCAUGUCACGGUGACUAUGUGCAGUUCAGUGGGUCAGCACUGGAGAACUGAAUGUACACUUGUUUUCCGGCAAAGAUGCAGACGACCCUCCGCGAAAACAGAAAUACAAGCCCACCUAUGUCAACUAUGAGUCAGUAAACAGUCAACAGAACCCACACAGUAAGGGGGUGGGGGAAACACUGAAUCCAGGGACAGAAGUACACUGUCCUGCCCCCUCUAUAAGCACUGCUCUUCAUCUUAGUCACACAGUAUACACAAGCUCUCGUCCAGAGCAAUCUACAGUCAGGGUAUACAAGCGGGUCACGCAACAUACUGGUUAGGUAGGCCAGUGGUGUCAAACUCUGGGCCUCAAGGUUCAGUGUCUGAUGCUUAUUUUUGCAGCUCUAUGGAACUCAACUGAUCAAUUCAUGUAUUUGAUUGGCUAGAGUUUUCCAGAUCUAUACCAGUCUCAGAUUAAAAGUUAACUCCAAACAGAGGUCUGGUAAAUUGAAAUGGUUGCAGUAUAUAGGCCAGGGGUGUCAAACUCAAGUCCUCCAGAGCCU